rnacentral:sRNA from 1 species
AGAGAUCCUAUUAUACAUAAAGUUACAAAAUCAAAUCAAUCAAUCAAAUCCAUUAUAUCAAUGAAUCUGUCAUUCUAUUCUUUCUAUCAAUCUGCCCUUCUGUACCGUAGGCCCCUGCUGAUGGGCGCUGCUUACUAGUAGUUAAGUAUAGGUGUUGGUCGCGACGAGCAGGAAGCCAGCCGUCUAAUGGCCUUCUGGCCUAGAUGGUGGUUCGCACUGUAUUGCCCAGUCUGUGCUUGAUCAUUACACCUUCCAUUCUUCACCCUUUCAGUAUCCAUGAAGCUUUGAUUUACGAUAGUACUAGUAUUGAUGUUGAAAAAGUUCUUUACUAGUAGUGGCGGCAGUUAGUGAGGAAGACAAGAGUAUUCUUGACAGUGCAUCUCAUCCUGGUCAUCUCGUGGUGGUUCUGAUGAUGAUAUUUAUAGUGAUUCUCACAGACAUUAUGGUGGUUCUUGGAGAGGUUCUUGCGGUAGAUGAAGGAAAUAGCAAUGGCAGCGACAGCAGCGGCAGUGACUUAGAUACUAGUGGUC